AGCCCAGCAACUCCUAUCCCUACCUCCACGUGGCCGGACUGCGAGCAACCUUAGGGAAGAUCGGGUAACCAACCCCAGUCGGAACUUUGGUCGUAGACUGACAGGGAAGG
rnacentral:ribozyme from 1 species